rnacentral:rRNA from 1 species
UACGAAGGGGGCUAGCGUUGCUCGGAAUGACUGGGCGUAAAGGGCGCGCAGGCGGCUUGGUAAGUCGGAUGUGAAAACCCGAGGCUCAACCUCGGGCGUGCAUCCGAAACUGCUCGGCUAGAGGUAGGUAGGGGAGAUCGGAAUUCCUGGUGUAGCGGUGAAAUGCGCAGAUAUCAGGAGGAACACCGGUGGCGAAGGCGGAUCUCUGGGCCUUACCUGACGCUCAGGCGCGAAAGCUAGGGGAGCGAACUGG